ensembl:rRNA 5S_rRNA 5S ribosomal RNA
GCCCACGGCCAUGCCACCCUAAACAAGCCCGAUCUGGUCUGAUCUCGGAAGCUAAGCAGGGUCUGCCAGUUAGUACUAGGAUGGAAGACCAAAUAAGAAUACCUGGUGCUGUAGGCA